AUGGUGGGCAGAAUUGAGGACUUAGAUGAAGAGGUACACUUGGCGCUCCUGCCCAGCUUCUCGUGGACGCGGCUCUUUCUGCUCCUGGCUGCCACCCACUGGCUGGCCGCGGCCCUGGUCUGGGCUGCACCAGCCCUGGGCUGCACCAGCCUUGCGGCGGCUCCCAAGGCCGCCCCGCCCCGAGCAGCGUCCCCACACCAUGCACCUUCUGCGGGACCUGCUGGCAGUGCCGGGGACUCUGUGGACUGCAGGCUUUGUGCUCACCUACAAGCUGGGUGAGCAGGGUGCCAGCAGCCUGUUUCCUCUUCUCCUGCUGGACCGCGGCGUUUCUGCCCCCGAGCUGGGACUGUGGAAUGGUGUGGGUGUCAUGGUGUGCUCCAUCGCUGGCUCCUUCCUGGAUGGGACAUUGCUGGCCAAGCACCGGGAGCCGCUGCCUCUGCUGAAGUCAGUGUUGCGGCUCCGCCUUGGGGGCUUGGCCUGCCAGACUGACUUGCUCUUCCGCCUGGAUACCCUGGGUGCCAGGUUGGGCCCUGGCACAAUCUUGAGAGGGGCAGCCUUGCUGAGCCUUUGUCUGCAGCACUUCUUGGGAGGCCUGGUCCCCACAGCCACCUUCACUGGGAUGAUGCGCUGCAGCCAGCUGGCCCCCAGGGCCCUGCAGGCCACACAUUACAACCUUCUGACCAUUCUGCAGCUGCUGGGGAAGCUGCUGCUGGGUGCUCUGGCUGGAGCCCUGGCCGACGGGUUAGGGCCACAUCCCUGCUUCUCCCUCCUGCUCAUCCUCUCUGCCCUGCCCCUUCUGUACCUGGGCCUAGCAUCCAGCACCUUGCUCUGAGCUGGGCAGCUGGACAGCUCAAUAAAGCCACAUGUGCUUGUGACCC